rnacentral:rRNA from 1 species
UACGAAGGGGGCUAGCGUUGUUCGGAAUUACUGGGCGUAAAGCGCGCGCAGGCGGCCAUUCAAGUCAGGGGUGAAAGCCCAGAGCUCAACUCUGGAACUGCCCUUGAAACUGUAUGGCUUGAGUAUGAGAGAGGUGAGUGGAAUUCCCAGUGUAGAGGUGAAAUUCGUAGAUAUUGGGAAGAACACCGGUGGCGAAGGCGGCUCACUGGCUCAUCACUGACGCUCGAGGCGCGACAGCGUGGGAUCAAACAGG